GACAGAGGCCCCGAGCGUUAGGCGGAAUCACUGGGCUUAAAGCGUGUGUAGGCGGAUCGUUAAGUGUCUUGUGAAAUCCCACGGCUCACCCGUGGAACUGCUGGGCAUACUGGCGAUCUUGGGCCGUUCAGGGGCGACUGGAACAAGCGGUGGAGCGGUGAAAUGCGUAGAUAUCGUAAGGAAGACCAGUGGCGAAGGCGGGUCUCUGGACAGUUCCUGACGCUGAGGAGCGAAAGCGUGGGGAGCAAACAGG
rnacentral:rRNA from 1 species